UGGCCAGAGGUCCUCGCUUGGACGUGAACAGCUGAGUGUAGAACAACAUGUCGGCAGGUGGGACGUCACCUGUCACAGGACAAACAACACAGACAGAGACAGCUGGCUCGACAAGUUAUGUUAAUUGUACAGGUUUGUCUGUGAGAAGAGAAGAGAAGAGAAGAGAAGAGAAGAGAAGAGAAGAGAAGAGAAGAGAAGAUCUGCUGAGGAACAGAUUAUCUUCAGAGGCCCGGCAGCCGCCUGCAGCUGCAGCUUCACGUCACCAUGAUUUCACUCAGUUUGCUCUCAGACGCUCAGCGAAUAAACAAACACAGAGAAGAAGAAGCUGCUUCUCCACAGGACGUCACAAUCCACCAAUGAAGCAUCUUAUUAAUACAUUUGAUGACUGUCUACAUUGUUGCACCAGGUUUUCAACCUGAACACAGAUGUGUCAGUUUAUCUGGACGAUUAAUUGGACGGAUUCAUAUUUUUUAAAAUGUAAUUAAGAGCAUGUGAGCAGCUUGUUUCCCUUCCUCAUACUGAUACUGUGUCAUUUGAAACGAUAACAACAUAUGAAACAUGUUCUAACAGCUGUUUGCUACUGUACUCUGUAUGAAGUGAUGAUCACUGUCACUGUUGUUAAACCCUCUGACAAACAGAAACACUCAGAGAAUUAAAGUCACAGAACUUCUGUUAUGAUCUA